rnacentral:rRNA from 1 species
AACCCAGUGUGACUCGUCACACUAUCAUUAACUGAAUCCAUAGGUUAAUGAGGCGAACCGGGGGAACUGAAACAUCUAAGUACCCCGAGGAAAAGAAAUCAACCGAGAUUCCCCCAGUAGCGGCGAGCGAACGGGGAGGAGCCCAGAGCCUGAAUCAGCAUGUGUGUUAGUGGAAGCGUCUGGAAAGGCGCGCGAUACAGGGUGACAGCCCCGUACACAAAAGCGCAUGUGCUGUGAGCUCGAUGAGUAGGGCGGGACACGUGGUAUCCUGUCUGAAUAUGGGGGGACCAUCCUCCAAGGCUAAAUACUCCUGACUGACCGAUAGUGAACCAGUACCGUGAGGGAAAGGCGAAAAGAACCCCGGCGAGGGGAGUGAAAAAGAACCUGAAACCGUGUACGUACAAGCAGUGGGAGCACCCUUUGGGUGUGACUGCGUACCUUUUGUAUAAUGGGUCAGCGACUUAUAUUCUGUAGCAAGGUUAACCGAAUAGGGGAGCCGGAGGGAAACCGAGUCUUAACCGGGCGUUAAGUUGCAGGGUAUAGACCCGAAACCCGGUGAUCUAGCCAUGGGCAGGUUGAAGGUUGGGUAACACUAACUGGAGGACCGAACCGACUAAUGUUGAAAAAUUAGCGGAUGACCUGUGGCUGGGGGUGAAAGGCCAAUCAAACCGGGAGAUAGCUGGUUCUCCCCGAAAGCUAUUUAGGUAGCGCCUCGUGAA